CCAAAUGAUGGGGAGCAAAAGGCUCUUCGUCCCGGUUGGUGAUGGGCUUCCAAAAAAAGAGGGGCGGGGGGAUGGGGACGCUUCCGAAAUAGCCCAAGAACUCCUGGAGGAACUUUGCAAGACUUUGGGAGCUCGAGCGCAUGAUUCAGAUCCCCGAGGGGGUCUGUUGCCUGGCCUGGGUUGUUGGUUUUAUUUUUAUUUUAUUGGACUAUUCUGCCCCACUCCAAGACAGCACGUGAUGGGCAAGACAGAAGGCUCCUCUGCUUCCCUUUAGCCCCAUCAUCCUUGAGAAACUUGUCCCCCUAACCUUGGGAAGGUGGGGGGAAGAGAAGCGCAGCAAGGCAAAGACCCGGCAGAGAGCGAGGAAGGGGAUUGCACACACCCCAACUCCGCCCCUCACUUGUCUGCAGCCAUCCAGCUUUAAGGAGACUUUGGGGCUGAAGGAGACAAGGGGGUAAGAUGUGAUACACGCGCCCGCGCCUGCACACAACCCCGGCUCCGACUCGGGUCCUACCUUUCGGAUUUGGUGAACUUCCGAAACGCCUGCCGGAGGUCGUGGAAGGAGCGAUAGGUCUGAGGCUCGGCGGAGAUGCCUUGCGCCCGGGUGGUGCGGGGUCCGAUGUGGGUGGUGGGCGCGGGGAGCACCGACUGACACUUGUGCAGCUUCCUCUUCAGCUCCUGGAGCUCCUCGUCCUUCUCCGACAAGCGCUUCUCCAGCUCUUUAAUCCGCUCAUCCUUCAGCAGCAGAAGCUUGGCAAAGUCCCCUUCCAGCUCGCUCAUGUUGCAGCAACCCUCGCUUCGCUCCAACUUUUGCUAUCCCGUAAGGAAGCGAGCGGGGAGCGGCGGCGGCGGCAGCAGCGACCCAAGCGAGCGCGGAGUGAAUGGAGCCUCUAAGAGAGAGGAAAGGGUAAAGAGAGAGAGCGGGCGAGCGAGUGAGUGCGAGAGGAAAAAAAAGGCCUCUCAGAAUGCCAAGGCAAAGUUCUGCCACUUUCAUUUCUAGUACCCGAAGUGCCCCUUUGGUAAAUGAAUAUAAUUGAACUAUGGAUAGAGUUUUGCAGAUUGAUCAGCCUUCAUUAUCCAAACACAAACACAUGACUGGUAUAGACUUUGAAUUGUGGCUGAUGUGUCAAGAACAACAAAAAGAGGCUUUGGUUGAAGCUCAAAACUUACACAGAAACUACUGGAUGCUGUAAAACUGCGACAUAAAUGUGAAGAUGGUAAUUACAAAUGGUGGCAGAAUUUUGUGUCAAUACAACACCAGAAGAAUUAUACCAAUGCAAAGCAAAGUGGCAUCUGUCUUGUUCCAAGAAGUGCAUGCACACUGGUAAUCUGGAAAGAUUACAGGCUAGAUACAACUAAAAAGUGGCAGAACAUUCAGCUGGUUAAAGCACGGUAAGCAGGAAUGAGGCUCCCUGCACAAGAUCAAAAGGUGUACAAGUACAAAAGAAUGCCUGCUUCUUUUGUGAUAGACCUGAAGCUUGAAGGUAUCCAUUUCAUGUAAUAUAACUGCAGUGUUAUCAGCUGUAUAAAGUCAUUCACU